UACGAACCGUCCAAACGUUACUCGGAAUCACUGGGCUUAAAGGGUGCGUAGGCUGCGCGGAGGGUGGGAUGUUAAAUCCCCCGGCUCAACCGGGGAAUAGCGUCCCAAACCGCCGUGCUCGAGGGAGACAGAGGUGAGCGGAACUGAUGGUGGAGCGGUGAAAUGCGUUGAUAUCAUCAGGAACACCAGUGGCGAAGGCGGCUCACUGGGUCUUUCCUAACGCUGAGGCACGAAAGCUAGGGGAGCGAACGGG
rnacentral:rRNA from 1 species